GAAAUGCGAUAAGUAAUGUGAAUUGCAGAAUUCAGUGAAUCAUCGAAUCUUUGAACGCACCUUGCGCUCCUUGGUAUUCCGAGGAGCAUGCCUGUUUGAGUGUCAUGGAAUUCUCAACUCUAUUUGCUUUUGUGAAUAGAGCUUGGAUUUGGAGGUUUAUUGCUGGUACUUGUGAUCGGCUCCUCUUGAAUGCAUUAGCUCGAACCUUUGCGGAUCAGCUAUCGGUGUGAUAAUUGUCUACGCCGUUGCAGUGAAGCAUAUCAAUGGGCUCGGCUUCCAAUCGUCCUUUACUGGACAAUGACUUUGACCUUUGACCUCAAAUCAGGUAGAAUUACCCGCUGAACUUAGGC
rnacentral:misc_RNA from 1 species